CAGUAGCCACGGUAAUACGUAGGGUGCAAGCGUUAAUCGGAAUUACUGGGCGUAAAGCGUGCGCAGGCGGUUAUAUAAGUCAGAUGUGAAAUCCCCGGGCUCAACCUGGGAACUGCAUUUGAGACUGUAUGGCUAGAGUGUGUCAGAGGGGGGUAGAAUUCCACGUGUAGCAGUGAAAUGCGUAGAUAUGUGGAGGAAUACCGAUGGCGAAGGCAGCCCCCUGGGAUAACACUGACGCUCAUGCACGAAAGCGUGGGGAGCAAACAGGAUUAGAUACCCGCGUAGUCCCUGUCUCUUAUAA
rnacentral:rRNA from 1 species